UCGUCUCGGGCGACACACCGUGAUCGGCGC
rnacentral:sRNA from 1 species